rnacentral:rRNA from 1 species
CCCUUAGAUGUCCUGGGCUGCACGCGCGCUACACUGGAAGUUACGGAUUGAGAUACUACCUUGUCCGAAAUGGUCCGGGUAAUCACCUAAAAGCUUGUCAUAAUUGGAAUGGAUUAUUGUAACUAGUAAUCCUGAACGAGGAAUUCCUAGUAAGUCCCAGUCAACAGCUGGUACUGAUUACGUCCCUGCCCUUUGUACACACCGCCCGUCGCUACUACAGAGUGCCCGUGUCCAAGAAACGGUUGGACCUGUGCGGCCUCUCCGGGCGACCGGAGGGCCGUUACGGGAAAGACCCUUUAUUUGACGCGGGUCGAUGAAGUAAAAGUCGUAACA